rnacentral:rRNA from 1 species
AUUCCAGCUCUGUAAGCGUAUACCAAAGUUGUUGCAGUUAAAACGCUCGUAGUCGGAGGUUGGCGGGCAGUCCAGGGCGUCCUCGCGGACGGAUCUGGAGUUGGCCGCCUUUGUGGAUGGGGGCCUAGUGGAGCUUCACUGCUUCAUUGUGGUCGCUGCCACCGUUUACUGUGAAAAAAUUAGAGUGUUCAAAGCAGGCGUUUGCCAUGAAUACAUUAGCAUGGAAUAAUAGAAUAGGACCUGUUUCCUGUUUUGUUGGUUUGUGAGGAUCGGGUAAUGAUUAAGAGGGACGGUUGGGGGCAUUUGUAUUCCGGCGUCAGAGGUGAAAUUCUUGGAUUGGCGGAAGACAAACGGCUGCGAAAGCGUCUGCCAAGGACGUUUUCAUCA